ACAUCCAGAGAAUUUAGCAGAGAUUGCUUUUAGUGGCCUUCGGGAACUCUGAGACAGGUGCUGCAUGGCUGUCGUCAGCUCGUGUUGUGAAAUGUUGGGUUAAGUCCCGNAACGAGCGCAACCCUUAUCCUUUGUUGCCAGCACGUAAUGGUGGGAAACUCAAAGGAGACUGCCGGUGAUAAACCGGAGGAAGGUGGGGAUGACGUCAAGUCAUCAUGGCCCUUACGAGUAGGGCUACACACGUGCUACAAUGGCGCAUACAAAGAGAAGCGACCUCGCGAGAGCAAGCGGACCUCAUAAAGUGCGUCGUAGUCCGGAUUGGAGUCUGCAACUCGACUCCAUGAAGUCGGAAUCGCUAGUAAUCGUAAAUCAGAAUGUUACGGUGAAUACGUUCCCGGGCCUUGUACACACCGCCCGUCACACCAUGGGAGUGGGUUGCAAAAGAAGUAGAUAGCUUAACCUUCGGGAGGGCGUUUACCACUUUGUGAUUCAUGACUGGGGUGAAGUCGUAACAAGGUAGGCGUAGUGCU
rnacentral:rRNA from 1 species